rnacentral:rRNA from 1 species
CUAGCUACAGGCUUAACACAUGCAAGUCGAGGGGCAUCAGGAAGAAAGCUUGCUUUCUUUGCUGGCGACCGGCGCACGGGUGAGUAACACGUAUCCAACCUGCCCUUUACUCGGGGAUAGCCUUUCGAAAGAAAGAUUAAUACCCGAUAGCAUAAUGAUCCCGCAUGGUUUCAUUAUUAAAGGAUUCCGGUAAAGGAUGGGGAUGCGUUCCAUUAGGUUGUUGGUGAGGUAACGGCCCACCAAGCCUUCGAUGGAUAGGGGUUCUGAGAGGAAGGUCCCCCACAUUGGAACUGAGACACGGUCCAAACUCCUACGGGAGGCAGCAGUGAGGAAUAUUGGUCAAUGGGCGCUAGCCUGAACCAGCCAAGUAGCGUGAAGGAUGAAGGCUCUAUGGGUCGUAAACUUCUUUUAUAUAAGAAUAAAGUGCAGUAUGUAUACUGUUUUGUAUGUAUUAUAUGAAUAAGGAUCGGCUAACUCCGUGCCAGCAGCCGCGGUAAUACGGAGGAUCCGAGCGUUAUCCGGAUUUAUUGGGUUUAAAGGGAGCGUAGGUGGACUGGUAAGUCAGUUGUGAAAGUUUGCGGCUCAACCGUAAAAUUGCAGUUGAUACUGUCAGUCUUGAGUACAGUAGAGGUGGGCGGAAUUCGUGGUGUAGCGGUGAAAUGCUUAGAUAUCACGAAGAACUCCGAUUGCGAAGGCAGCUCACUGGACUGCAACUGACACUGAUGCUCGAAAGUGUGGGUAUCAAACAGGAUUAGAUACCCUGGUAGUCCACACAGUAAACGAUGAAUACUCGCUGUUUGCGAUAUACAGUAAGCGGCCAAGCGAAAGCAUUAAGUAUUCCACCUGGGGAGUACGCCGGCAACGGUGAAACUCAAAGGAAUUGACGGGGGCCCGCACAAGCGGAGGAACAUGUGGUUUAAUUCGAUGAUACGCGAGGAACCUUACCCGGGCUUAAAUUGCAGUGGAAUGAUGUGGAAACAUGUCAGUGAGCAAUCACCGCUGUGAAGGUGCUGCAUGGUUGUCGUCAGCUCGUGCCGUGAGGUGUCGGCUUAAGUGCCAUAACGAGCGCAACCCUUAUCUUUAGUUACUAACAGGUUAUGCUGAGGACUCUAGAGAGACUGCCGUCGUAAGAUGUGAGGAAGGUGGGGAUGACGUCAAAUCAGCACGGCCCUUACGUCCGGGGCUACACACGUGUUACAAUGGGGGGUACAGAAGGCAGCUAGCGGGUGACCGUAUGCUAAUCCCAAAAUCCUCUCUCAGUUCGGAUCGAAGUCUGCAACCCGACUUCGUGAAGCUGGAUUCGCUAGUAAUCGCGCAUCAGCCACGGCGCGGUGAAUACGUUCCCGGGCCUUGUACACACCGCCCGUCAAGCCAUGGGAGCCGGGGGUACCUGAAGUACGUAACCGCAAGGAUCGUCCUAGGGUAAAACUGGUGAC